GGCCCUUUAGCUCAGUUGGCAAGAGAGUGCGACUCAUAAUCGGCCGGUCGCUGGUUCAAGCCCAGCAAGGACCAUCA
rnacentral:tRNA from 1 species